rnacentral:lncRNA from 1 species
GUGGUAUAUAGCUCCUAAUGUAGAAUUUCAGUUUGUUUAUGCCCCAUUUAGAGCUAUUAAGGCUUGACUGAUUUGUAAUGGGAUUGUAUUCCAGGUACAACUCAUUCAAUGACAGAAAUUGGGAUGUGGUUUCUGAAUCUUAUAUAUCAUUAUCAAGGCAAAGAGUUAAAAGAAGAUGGGUAAGUCAUUGAUUACUCCUUUCUCCUUAAUACUUUUUUCUUUUGACAUGCAUCAUGGUAUAGUGAAAAGAGCUCUGACUUGAGCAUCUGAAGGCCCCGGACUUGAAAGGCGGUUCUCGCUGGGUGACCUAGAGCAAGGAUCGGCCAAUUUUUUUCUGUAAAGG